AAGAGCUGAAGAGACCUGGAGCCGACAGACGAGGAAGAAUUCUCCUGCUUGUGGCAGGAAUGUGGCUUUUGUUCUCUGGACAGUUCUGCUGACCUCAUCCGCCAUGUCUACUUCCACUGCUACCACACCAAGCUGAAACAGUGGGGGCUGCAGGCCUUGCAAAGCCAGGCUGACCUUGGCCCCUGCAUCCUGGACUUCCAGAGCCGGAACGUCAUCCCUGAUAUCCCUGACCACUUCCUGUGUCUGUGGGAGCACUGUGAGGCUCUUGAUCUGAAGCCCAGGCUAGAGUGCAGUGGUGCAAUCAUAGCUCACUGUAACCUUGAACUCCUGGGCUCAAGCAAUCCUCCCACCUCAGCCUCCCAAGUAACUAGGACUACAGGCAUGUACCACCAUGCCCUGCUAACUUCUAAAUUUUUUGUAGAGACAAGGUCUGGGUAUGUUACUCAGGCUGGUCUCGAACUCUUGGCCUCAAGUGAUUCUCCUGCCUCAGCCUCUCAAAGUGCUGGGAUUACAGGGUUUAGCCACCACACCCGGCCACUCCUCCAUUUCUGUGUCGUGCCUUUCCUCAAAAUUUCCCAUCCCCAUCAAGUUAAUUUGGGAGAGAGCCAAGAAUUCUUUGGGCACAUAGGGGUGAGUCCCUCUACCCACCCUCAGUCCUCACCCCAAGUUGCCCCUGGCACAGAAUUCCUUCGACAAUCCUGAGUGGUUUUAUCGGCAUGUGGAAGCACACAGUCUGUGCUGUGAAUAU
rnacentral:sRNA from 1 species